UAUCUAGUUAUAUCCAUUUAUUUAGUGUUAUUCAUUCUAAAACUAGUUGCAUUGUCUUCCCUACAUAGGUUAUAUUUAAAAUAUUAUUAGAACACUAUCCUUUCUUGCUCCUUGACCAAAAUAAUAAUAGAUUAAAAUUGAUUGUUGGUCUAGAACUAAUUCCUGCAUCAUUGAAUUCCUAUCGGAAAGCUAAUUUGCACACAUUAUUCUAUUAGUAUGACAAAAAGUUCUAAAAAUAGGUCUGGAUUAAAGUUGGAGAAAAAAUAAAUUGUUGUGAAAGUGACUUUUGUGCCUUUUACUAUUGGUAAACCAUGGCUUCUUGACACUUGAUGUUUGUGGUGAAUUUUGAAUUCGAAUGUUUUGGUUCGUCACUUCUUAUUUUUUUUAGCUAAUUACUUCAAUUUAUCUAAUAUUUGUUCUCAGACCAAAUCUGUUCGUCUUUUGUAAAUCAUCACUUCUUGAAAGUUAAUGUCUGUUGGGGAGUCCUAAACUUGAUUGUUGUGGUUUUUCAAUGACAAUUUCUUUUUAUGUAGUUACAUCCAUUUAUUUAGUUUUGUUCAUCAUAAAAAUGAUUGCAUUGCCUUCCCUGCUUAAAUUAUAUUUAAAAUAUUACUAGAACCACAAUACUUUUAUGCCCCUUGGCCAUAGUAAUAACAGAUAAAAAAUGAUUGUUGGUCCAUAGGACUAAUUCUUGCAUCAUUGCAUUCCACCCAAAACGCUAAUUUGCACGCAUUAUUCUAUUAGUGUGAAAAAAGUGUUGAAAGAUUGGUGUGGAUUAAAGUUAGUGAAAAAAUAAAUUGUCGUAAAAUGAAUUUUGUGGUUUAUCAACAAUCUGAUUCCAUCAAUUAUUUAGUAUUGUUGUUGGAUCAUCUCUCUCCGCCCCAUAAUGUGUAAACUAUGGCCUUUUGAAACUUAUUGUUUGUGGAGAAUUUUGAAUUUGAGUGAGUUUAUCACUGACAAUUUCUUUUUAGUCAUUGCUUCAAUUUAUCUGGUAUUAUCUUUUGAUCAUCUCUCUUGAUCCUAUAUAAAUUAUCACUUUCUGAAACUUAAUUUCUGUGAGGGAAUUCUGAACUUGAAUGUUGUGGAUAACAUUGUCAAUUUCUUUCUAUCGAGUUACGUGCAUUUAUUAAGUAUUAUUCAUACUAAAAACAGUUGCAUUGCCAUCCUAGUGUAUAUUAUAUUUAAAAUAUUAUUAGAUCACCAUCCUUUCAUUCUCCUUGGGCAAUAUAAUAAUGGAUAAAUAUUGAUUGUUGGUCCAAAACUAAUUCCUACAUCAUUGCGUUCCACCUGAAAUGCUGAUUUGCACACAUUCUUCUAUUAAUAUGAAAAAAAAGCGCUGGAAAACAGGUGUUUAUUAAAGUUGGAGAAAAAAAUAAAUUGCUAUGAAAAUGAAUUUUGUGGUUUAUCAGCAAUCUAAUUAUAUCAAUUAUUUAGUAUUGUUGUUGGAUCAUCUCUCUCAGCCCUGUAAUAUGUGUAAACUAUGGAUUUUUGAGGCUUAAUGUAUGUUGGGAAUUCUGAAUUCGAAUGUUGUCGUUUAUCACUGUCUAUUUCUUCUUAGCUAAUGACUUCAAUUUAUCAAGUAUUGUUCCUGGAUCACAUCUCUUGGUCUUGUGUCACUUUUUGAAACUUAAUACCUGUUGUGUAAUCCUGAGCGUGAAUGUUGUGGUUUAUGUAGUAUUAUUCAUUCUAAAAAUGGUUGCAUUGCCUUUCACUGUUUUAAGUUAUAUUUAAAAUGUAAAUAGAACCCCAAUCUUUUCUUUUGUCCUCAGCCAAAAUGAUAAUAGAAAAAAAUUGAUUGUUGGUCUAUAUAAAACUAAUUCCUGCACCUCGAAUUCAAAUUUUCACACAUUCUUCUAUUAGUAUGAAAAAAAGUGCUGGAAAACUGGUGUGGUUAAAGUUGGUGAAAAAAAUAAAUUGUAAUAAAAUUGAAUGGAUUGGGGUUCUAUUUACAUUUUAAACCAUGUAAAACCGUAUAUUUUGAAUAGUGUAAACCAUGUAAAAUUGUAUAUUUUUACUUGUGUGAUAUUUUUAUUUGAGAGGAAAAAGAUUUUACUUUGAAUAGUGUGUUGUGUCUCAAGGAUUCUGCAUUCUGGUUGCAACAAGCUCUAUGGUUGAGAACAAUUUCACUUCAUCAUCUUAGUUAUUACCAUGAGCCUUGAACAAAAAUAUUUGAUUACAGGCUUUAUGUCUUCUCAUUCGUUUUUUGUUUUCUAUCUUUAUUUUUGAAACCAAGAGGUGAAAAUUUGAAAAAUAUUGAUUCCAUUAACUUUUUACUUCCAACAUUGAUUUACGUAGGUAUGCAAAUGUUUGGGCUAGCACCAUCCUUUUACUUUAUAAGUUUUUGUGACAUGUUAAUUUUGUUAUGUGCUCUGUUCUGUUGUUUUCAUAAACCUGCAAAAUUGAUGGAACGAGCAUUUUGGAUUGAGGUAAUGUUGCACUUUUUUUAAUUUUUGGUUCCAUGUUGUUUACGUGUACCUAAUCUUCUUUUUGGUUCUGUAGGAUGGGAUUUCAAUUAUGACUUUUAUUUUGUAUUGUAUUAUGCAAUUACGAAGGUUUUUCGCCAGCUGAGGGAGCCCUGUAACACGUUGGGCAUCUUUGGCUUUUGGUGCUGGAAUGGGUAUUGGGUCAGCAUACACAGAGUGCUCAUAAAAGUUUGAUGGAUCUCCUGCAAAAAUCCACCCCCAUGAUUUCAGAUACUCCAGCUUUUUUGGGAGCCGUGUAACACAUUGGGCAUCUUUGGCUUUUGGUGCUGGAGUGGGUAUUGGGUCAGCUUACACAGAGUGCUCAUACAAGUUUGAUGGAUCUCCUGCAAAGCUAUCCACCCCCACAAUUUCAGAUACUCCAGCUUCUCUGGUAAGUUUCUUCUCUGCUUUAUGACUUGCUCGAGUGAUGUAUGUUUUGUCACUUUCCUUUCAUUUUUAUUUUUUUGUUACUCACUCAAUAUAACUUUUCCAUUUCAUAGCCUUAUGAGAAAAAUUGUGAUUAUAUAUUAGUGAAUAAUUUUGGGGUUAUCUACAUCUUCUUAGCCAAUUCAUCCUAACAUGUUUUCUGCUUGGGAACAACGACACAAUGGAUGUGUCCUAUGUGUCCGUUUCCUUUUACACCCUAUGCACUUAUACCAGAGUUUUGGCUAAAUCCCUUAACAUGUUACAUUAACUAGUUUUUAGAUGAACAAAAAAUAAAGCAAUUAAAACUUUAAACGAUGAUUCCUUCUCUUUCUCUCUAUCUGUCAGUGUGUUUGAAACUUAAUGGUUGUGGAGAUUUUUGAAUUUUGAAUGUUGGGAGUUCAUCACUACCUAUUUUUUUAGCUAAUAAUUUCAAUUUAUCUAGUACUAUUCUUCGAUCAACUCUAUUGGUUUUGUGAAAAUCAUCACUUUUUAGAACUUAAUGUUCGUUGUGGAAUCCUGAAAUUGAAUGUUGUGGUUUAUCAAUGCCAAUUUCCUUUUAUCUAGUUACAUCUAUUUAUUUAAUAUUAUUCAUUCUAAACUGAUUUGCACACAUUAGUGAAAAAAAUAAACUAAUUCCUGCAUCAUUGGAAAGCUAAUUUGCACACAUUCUUUUAUUAAUAUGAAUAAAAUUGUUGAAAAACAAGUGUGGUUUAAAAUUUGAGAAAAAAAUACAUUAUUGUUCAAAUAAAUUGUGGUUUAUCAAUAAUUUAAUUACAUUAAUUAUUUAGUAUUGUUGUUGGAUCAUCUGUCUGUAAUAUAUGUCAACUUUAGUUUUUUGAGACUUAAUGUUUCUAGAGAAGUUUAAAUUUGAAUGUUGAGAUUCAUUAUUGCCUAAUCACUUUCUAAAAUUUAUCAAGGAUUAUUAUUGGAUCAUCUCUCAUGAUCUUGUGUAAAUAAUCACCUUCUAAAUUUUUAACGUGCAUAGGGAAAUUAUAAACCUAAAUGUUGUGAUUUAUUAAUGUUAAUUUCUUUUUAUGUGGUUACUUCUAUUAUUCAUUCUAAAAAUGAUUGCAUUGCCUUUCUUGCAUAAGUUAUAUUUGAAACAUUACUAGAACUACAAUCCUGUCUUACUCCUUUGCAAAAAUAAUAUUAGAUAAAAAAAAUUAUUUAUUGAUCCAUAUAACUAAUUUAUGCAUUCCACCUAAAAUGCUAAUUUGCACAUAUUCUUUGAUUAGUAUAAAAAAAAGUGCUGAAAAAUUAGUGUGGAAUAAAGUUGGUGAAAAUAUAAACUAUGAGUGUAUUUUGUGAUUUAUCAACAAUCUAGUUACAUUAAUUUUUUAGUAUUGUUGUUAGAUCAUCUCUCUAUGCCUUGUAAUGUGUAAACCAUGACUUUUUGAAACUUAAUAUUUGUGAUAAAUUUGAAUUUGAAUAUUGUGAUUUAUUACUGUCUAUUUGUUUUUUUUUUAGCUAAUCACUUUAAUUAUCUAACAUUGUUAUUGGAUUAUCUCUUUUGGUCUUGUGUAAAUAAUCCAUUUUUGGAAUUUAAUGUUCGUUGGGAAAUUCUGAACCUGAUUGUUGUGAUUUAUUAUAGUUAAUUUCCUUUUAUCUAGUUAAAUCUAUUUAUUUAAUAUUAUUUGUUCUGAUAAUGGUUGCAUUGCUUUCUUUGAGUAAGUUAUAUUUAAAAUAUUAUUAGAACCAUAAUUUUUUCAUACUUUUUUUCUAAAAUAAUAAUAGAUAAAAAAUUGAUUGUUGGUUUAUAUAACUAAUUUAUUCAUCAUUACAUUCCAACUAGAAUGCUAAUUUGCACACAUUCUUGUGAUAAAAUGAAAAAACGUUUUUAGAAAUAGGUGUUGAUUAAAGUUGGUGACAAAGGUGCGUUCUUUUUACUUUUUAAUUUUUAGUUUUGAGUUUAAAUUUAUUUUCAGUUUUCUGUUUUGGUAGUUUUUUUUAGAAAAUUGAAAAUGUGUUCUUUUUAUCAUUUUGAAAAAUUAUU